UGAAAGUUCCCUGCAGUAGCUGACUCCCUUGAUCUGAGCCUGGCCAGAGCCUGUGGGUUGAAGACUUAGAGAACUCUCAGAAGAAGAAGAUCUUAAGACUCUGAAAAGCAAGCAAUGGAAGGAAAUACGAGGGAAAUUGACAUCAGACAUCAGAAAGUAAUUCGUGCCUAGGAUGCAGGUGGAAUCUUCUGCUUUGAAGCAUACCCUGUGGCAACGCGACCUCCCUGGGAACCUCUCCUAUCUACCUUCAGUCCCUAUGCAUCCGCUUCCUCCCAAUUCCUCUUGCCCUCACUCAUCAUAAGCAUAUGAGGAGGCUUUGGGAGGACAGUCUUAGUUGGAACAAGGAUUUUCAGGCUGUAGAGACCAGAGAAUGCUUGUCCUGGGAUGUGUGAGAGAUGGUUCCCAGAGAGACGCCUGGAAAUCAGAGACAAGGGUCAGCGAUGUUGGCAGAUGAGGAAACUGAGGCUAGGAGAAGUCAACCACGUCCCCUAGGGGUCACAGAACCAGUCCAUGGCAGAGCCUGGUGUUCUCACCCAGACCUGACUAAUUUGAAGGCUCACGGCCACAGUUUCCCCACAUCCUCUCCUGUGCUAACCUGGAUUACCCACCGCCUGCUCUCAACUGCUGGACUGCAUCAUAUGGUGUCAUCAGUAGAGGGAGGAGUACCAGGGGGUGUGUCUGUGUCUCUCCAGGCCCUAAACUACACAGCUAACCCUCACUAAUCCAAGAGGGUUAAGGAAAUGGGGUGGUGUAAUUCAUCUAACAUUCUGGUCUAAUUAAGCGUUUCCAUGUUUAUCGGGGCAAUCACCAAUUCUAAAAGGAGCAAAUGCAACGAAAUACACUCAAUGCUGAAACCUG
rnacentral:lncRNA from 1 species